CCUACGGGUGGCAGCAGUGGGGAAUAUUGGGCAAUGGGCGCAAGCCUGACCCAGCAACGCCGAGUGAAGGAAGAAGGCUUUCGGGUUGUAAACUUCUUUUAAGAGGGAAGAGCAGAGGACGGUACCUCUUGAAAAAGCCCCGGCUAACUACGUGCCAGCAGCCGCGGUAAUACGUAGGUGGCAAGCGUUGUCCGGCUUUACUGGGUGUAAAGGGCGUGCAGCCGGGCAGACAAGUCAGAUGUGAAGUCCCGCGGCUCAACCGGGGAACUGAAUGUGAAACUGUUUUACUUGAGUACCGGAGAGGUCAUCGGAAUUCCUUGGGUAGCGGUGAAAUGCGUAGAUAUAAGGAAGAACACCAGUGGCGAAGGCGGAUGACUGGACGGCAACUGACGGUGAGGCGCGAAAGCGUGGGGAGCAAACAGGAUUAGAUACCCGAGUAGUC
rnacentral:rRNA from 1 species